CAGUCUGGGCUUACACUAGAGAUCAGUCUUUGCAUGUGGACAUUCUGCAUGGCCCUGGUGCCAUGCUAGCCUGGCUGUGGGGAACAUCAUGGCCAAGGCCACUACAGUAACAGUCUUGGUUUAUUUCAACUUUGUGAGUCAACCGGACUUAAUUAUCUUUCCAUGACGUCUUUUUGGAGAGAAUGUAAAAAAAAAGCAGCCAUGGCACUGUUUCAUCAGAGCGAGGAUGCAGAAGAGUCAUGCUGCACUGUACAAAUGGAAGCGCAUUGGAACUUCAGGAAUUUAGCGCUUAACAAGCACUUUUGGGAAAUUACCACUGAAAGUCUUUAGGGGGAUUCCACAGAUUAGAUCAUCUUUUAUUAUCAAGCAAGAGCAUUCUCCAUUGUGAAGUGGCCAUUUGCAACAAAAUCACACAGGAAAAGUCUUGGGGGUUCUGCUGGGCCCCCUGUCUGUUCAGGGACCCUAGAAUCACCCUAACCCCCAUUACGGCACACCUGCAUCCCCCUGCUGUCACGUCGAUACAUGAGAUUGUUAAUGUGAAGUGAUCGUUAAUGAAGACUGAGAGGACUACAGCUAGCAAACACAACAGAUUAAUAAUUAAUACUAAUGAGCAUAAUAGAAUAUCUACGCCCGGAGCUCGAGACUCCAACUCUUCAGAAACAACUGGUGCAAAUCCAUAUGUGGAGGCUAACACACCUGAUGCAGCUGCAGCAGUAGCAGCUACAGUAUGACCAAACACAAAUGAGAGAAGUCCCGAAAAUAUUUUGAAAAGAUAUAAAGUUUGGAUUUACCUUUAAGGACACAGUGGGCAAGUUCUGAAAUUUUCAAAGUAAUUGAUACGUUUUUCAGAGAAAAUAAUAUACCCUAUGCAAAAUGUGUUGUGUUGGUCACUCAUGAUGAUGCAAGAAGAUGGUCUGAAAAGUGGACUGAUAACACUUAGCCCCACAUGCACUGUGGACUCACUGAAUGUUACACAGUGAGUCUCUCUUUGCCGAAGAAAUGAGUGCAGAAUUUGCAGAUUUAAUUUUACAGAUAUUCUGGAUUCUGUUGUGAAUGCUAUUCAUUUUAUUAAGAGGAGUGCUUUGCAAACAUAUCUUUUUGCUUCUCAAUGUGUGUUGCUGCAGAAGAACACAACACGCUACUUUAUCAUUUAGAAGUCCGUUGGCUUUUUUGUGGAUCUGUAUUGUUUUGCGUGUUUGUGUUUCACACAGCUCUUCGUGAGUUUCUACUUCAUCGACGUGCACAGGGUAGAUCUGGCUCACUAAACUGGCAUAUCUAGACAUAUUCUCUGAGCUGAACGGACUCAACAGUUCUGUGCUGGGCCGUAAUACACAUGCCAUUCAGCUCUACGACCAGAUGGAUGGUUUCUAAAGAAAUAAAAAGAUGGAGAGAGCUGGUCAAGGAGGGAUUUUUUUCCAUGUUUCCAUCAGUGUAUGACUAGGGUUAUUCUGCUGUGCUUUCGCAUUUAAUUCUAGCGCACUUGUAGGCACCCGAGAGGCAAUUUGGAAAGUAUUUUUUUGAAAGUCAUGGCUUAGGGACAAGACAUGGAUACAGUUUCCUUUCAAAGACAUCAGAUGGCUAAAACAGUGACAGAGGAGGUUCGACUUAAGUACUGAUAUGAGUCAUGACCUUUUAUUCAACUCUGGAUCUCUUGCUAGAAGCACUGUACUUCCCUAGCAGGCAGCAAAGGCCACGAGGAGCCUUUUGUGACAGAAUAUCUUCACAAUGUGCAUUUUCCUACUUCACCUACCUGAAAAUUAAAACCGUUUAAGACUGCAGCCUGAGGCUUAUAUGAUAUUGUGCCAAACACCUCCAUCUCCCCCAGAAUAGACAGGCUUUGGGGAACUCACAAGGAUCAGUCAUCUCACUGAAGGAGUAUCUAAAGUUCAGCUAAACGUUUACUUUUCCAUCUUACAGUAAAUUUAAAAUGUACUGUAUGACUCAGCAAAAUCCAUUAAAAUAAUUGUGAUUGAAAGAAUUGUAACUGUUAAAUUAUGAUUUUGAUUGCAACACAGUAUGAAAAAUAUUUGUUAUGAUGCUUAUAUCUCCGUUAUAGUAAUGAAAAUUGAUGUACAAAUAAUGAUGUACAAUAACAUGCACAUAGUACUACUGUAUUAACAUAUUAUUAUCAUAAUGUGCUACUAUAUGCAUAUCAGAGGCCAGGCUUAAAAUUCAGCACUCAGUUUUAGACAAUUUGUAACGGGUCCUUGCUCCAUCUCUCUAUUGCCUAAUGAAUCUUUGGCCUGAAAAACUAUGAAGACCCCUGCCUUUUAUAUCCCAAAAUCCUGUGUGCAAUUCAGUGGUUAGUUGAAAAAAUAUAAAUGGCAUCCCUAGUGUCCAUUUUUUUUUUUUUUUUUUAACUUAACAGUAUGACUCCCAUUCUACAACAUAAUCACACAGGAAAUUGACAUGUUGUUUUCAAAAGUUCAUGUACCCUGAAAUUAAGCCCAUUCAGCUGAAUUACUGACUAGGGACAUGCAUGGAUAGCUGACAAUCCGUUAACCGCAUGACAUGGCACUAUUUGAAUAUCAAAAUCACUAUUCUGUUAUUCUACACGUGCAAUACAGGUCUGCAUCACGACAAGCUCGACGAGUCCCAAAAACUGUCAGGUUUUUCGGCCGAGUUUGGGUCAGGUUUUCAAGUAUAGGGCGAAUAAGUGGCUGUUCAAACAUGCUUUUGUGUGCAUCUGCACAGUUUUUUAAAUUUAUUUUAAUUAUUUUAUUUAUAGAUCAAUGAUACUGACUGAUAAGCUGAAUGGACGUCUUUGACUGUUGCACUGAAUCUCACUUUUUCCUUUCAGCACCUCUUACAGGAUCGGCUCAUUUUUAGACACCGGGUAAUGUUAAGAAGAGUAGCCUACUUUAAGUGACUGUUACACCAAUGAUUCCAUUUCGUUUUUCACUUGUUUCAGCACUUGAUAAAUGGUAAGAAAGUGUUUUUCCCCUUUUGCUCUGGUGUGCAUAUUUAGCACAAUAAUUAGACGAGUUCAAUGUCAUUUGAUUUUAAACCAUUCAAAAUUCAAAGCACCCCGAAGAGGCUAUUUAACCGCAGCAGUGUGAAACCAUACACGAUAAUAUUUGCGUUUGUAAGCUUAUUGAUCAUCGAUUAAUCAUUUUCUGCACAAAUGUGAUCAGUAAUCUUGCUAGCAGAGAGAGAAAUGUCUAUCAAUACAGUCAUCUGCCGCUAUAGCUUGCGUCCUACAUGUCACAACCUGUCAGCGACACUGAAUUAAAAACAGACAUGUAUCCUUGAUUUUCUUGCUAAUCAUGGACCAUUUCUCUAGUUGAAUAUUACGUUUACUGCAUAAACUGUGAUAGUGUGUUAAAGUACAACAUGACAACAAGCUAUGUUAAUCUGCUGGUCUCCCUGUAUCAUUCACGGCAACAAUCAUGUCAGUUUUAUUCAUUGAAUUUUGUUAAAGAAUACACAAUUCAAUAUGUUGGAAAUUUGUUAUGAAAUUGAAAUGUGAAAAUCUUAAAAAUGGGCUAACAUAUUUUUACGAGUGAACACAUUUACUUCUAGCACAACUGAUUCGAAAGUUGAAUUUUCGCUCUAAAAUAAAAAAAUUAUUUCACUGAUGGUUAAGUUUAGGUUUGGGAUUUGGGUUAUGGGAAGAGUUUAAAAAAUGCAUUCCUGUUGACUGUAUUAGAUAAUUUUUUACCAAAAAGUGCUACUCUGGACGUUUCACCUGGAAACUGGAGCUCACACAUGCCCACAGGUUCAACAACACUUCGAGAGUCACUGGGGCAGUGAUUCAAAAUAUGAUUCUAGAUCAUUUGACAUGAAUUUAUGGUGCCAUGCAGAGUACUUAUGAACACUGCGCAAAUUACGGGGGUCUAAGGGGUCCUCAGACCCCCUAAAUGCAA